GGAGGGGGUUAGCGUUGUUCGGAAUUACUGGGCGUAAAGCGUACGUAGGCGGAUUGGAAAGUUGGGGGUGAAAUCCCAGGGCUCAACCCUGGAACUGCCUCCAAAACUAUCAGUCUAGAGUUCGAGAGAGGUGAGUGGAAUUCCAAGUGUAGAGGUGAAAUUCGUAGAUAUUUGGAGGAACACCAGUGGCGAAGGCGGCUCACUGGCUCGAUACUGACGCUGAGGUACGAAAGUGUGGGGAGCAAACAGGAUUAAGAUACCCUGGUAGUCCACACCGUAAACGAUGAAUGCCAGUCCGUCGGGCAGUAUACUGUUCGGUGACACACCUAACGGAUUAAGCAUUCCGCCUGGGGAGUACCGUCGCAAGAUUAAAACUCAAAGGAAUUGACGGGGGCCCGCACAAGCGGUGGAGCAUGUGGUUUAAUUCGAAACAACGCGCAAAACCUUACCAACCCUUGACAUCCUGUGCUACCCGAAGAGAUCGGGCGUUC
rnacentral:rRNA from 1 species